rnacentral:rRNA from 1 species
UACAGAGGGUGCAAGCGUUAAUCGGAAUUACUGGGCGUAAAGCGUGCGCAGACGGUUAUCUAAGUCGAGUGUGAAAGCCCCGGGCUCAACCUGGGAAUUGCAUUCGAUACUGAAUAGCUAGGGUGCGGAAGAGGGAAGUGGAAUUUCCGGUGUAGCGGUGAAAUGCGUAGAUAUCGGAAGGAACAUCAGUGGCGAAAGCGACUUCCUGGUCCAGCACCGACGUUCAGGCACGAAAGCGUGGGGAGCAAACAGG